CCUCCUAAGUCACUGAGAGUACAGGUGUGCACCACCAGGCUCAGUGAUACUAUGACCAAGUACCAGAGGAUUUCCGCAACCACAAUGUGGGGAGUAGACGGGCAUGACUAUACGGCUUCCUAACAGUGAGCAGAGAAGACAGUGAUAGCCACUAAAAAGUGCCCAGAGCCACAGAACACAACCUGUGGAGUCUCUCAAGUCUCUCUGAACCCUGAGAUCGGGGGCAUGAGGAUGCUGUAACUCAGAUUUAGAUAUUAUUUAAGGACUUCUUAUUAUGGAAGAUGAAGCCUUGACUAUACACCCUCAAGAAUCUUCCCUUAAAGCAACUAUUUCCCUAAUCCUCAGCUUGAGAGCCAGAGUCCGGCCACUCGGCACAAGGACAGCUGAAACAGCAAGAGUACUUGACCGUGAUUCUGGAUUAGCCUGCUCUAGAAGUAUGCAUAUACCGCAGCUGCAUCCCCCCGAGAGUAUUUCAAAAUUAUCCUCUCUACGAAGAUGCUGGUAACAUUUCAAAAGAAUCUAUAGUGAUGAAUAGCCAGAUUUUAAUGGACCAAACCUUAGCAAUAGGGAUUUGGAUAAUAAAGAUGGCCACCAAA